GAAUUCCAGCACCGGUUAUGAUUCCCAUGAGGAAAUCUGGCACUAUGCUUGCAACAAUCAUCAUUAAGCUCUCAACCAACAUCAUGGAUACAAAAAGCCCCAAAACAAAGUAUAGAAAAUGUCCAAUAUUCUUUUGAAGGCCAGUUAGGUAGUAUGCUAUUGCUCCAGGAAUCAAAGAUAUCAGGAGUAAGUAAGGGGUAGAAGAGAAUGAGUUACUAAGAACAAAUGAGGCAACACCAUAAUGCCCAUUUAACCUUUCUCGCCCAAAUAUCUAAAGGAAGUAAAAAAAUGUCAAUUAAAAUGUGUCACAUGUGGCUAAAAGUAAUUAGACUAUUGAAAGUUACAAACCUUCAUGUCCUCCACGAAAGAAGGGAAUCCACCGAUGGCCAUGAAAGUCAAAAAUGCUGCAAUAAACAUGAGCAUGGAUCCCCUGGCCUAAUAUUCAUGAUAUAAAUGAUUAUGUAAAGAUCUCGUUGAAUUGUACAAUAGUACAAGUUCUAUUUUGAGCCUUCACCAAAGUUACCUGAAUUGACCCAUAACUGGAUCCAAUAUCGUGGAAAAUAGUCCCUAUGCAUAAACCCAAGGCGACGUAGAUUACAAAGCGAAGCCAAUAAUAUCCUAAAUCGCGAUACAUGUUAACAAACGAUCUCUUUGUAAGAACGAGGCUCUGAGUGAUGAAGCUAGCUUGGUUUCCCUUUUCUAAAGUUCCUCCUUUCUGCAUGCACAACAAAUUUAGUAAAUUAACCUUGCUGCUAAAGUUAAUUAAUUCAAAUUUGAUAAACAUGUGUGUGUACCUGUUGGCAUAUUAUGGAAACAUGUUCUUUAACUUCCUUGUAAGUGUCGGAUGAUUUGUAUGAGUUGACUAGAAUGUUGAUAACCUCUUCAGUACUUGUUCUUCCAGUUCCUUCUUCAAUGUUCUAUUUUACACAAACGUUGGUUGAAUUAAAUUAUAUAUAUAUAUAUUUCAUACCAUUCGUUAAUUUCUUAGAUAAUCACUUACUUCUUCGAAGUCCUUAUUGAUAAUUCUUAGAUAGUGGUCAGAUGGAUUUCUCAAACUUGGGCAAGGAAAGCCAUUUGAAGCAAAUAAUUGUUCUGCCAUUGAAGAAGGACCAAAAUAAAUUGUCUUCCCAUAAGCAAGAAGGCAGAGAUUUUGAAAGAGCUCAAAAACAUCACUAUUAGGUUGAUGAAUCGAUGCGAGAACAGUUCUUCCAUCUUCGCGAGCAAGAUUAACAAUACGCUUCAUGACAUGGUAAGAUGCAGCACUGUCAAGCCCACUAGUAGGCUCAUCGAGGAACAAAAGCUUUGGGCGUGUUAAGAUCUCAAUGCAAAUACUAACCCUUCUCUUUUGUCCACUGCUAAUUCCUCUUACGUUCCAUCCUCCUAUUCUAGUGUCCAUGGCAUCUUGUAAUCCCAUUUCUCUAAUAGUCAUUUCAGCUCUUUCCUUCUUCUCUGAUCUUGACAUAGAAUCUGGCAGCUGCAGUUGUGCAGAAUAGUAUAUAGCUUCCAUUACUGUUAAUGUUGUCAUCAGAAUAUCUUCUUGAGUCACAUAGGCCUAAAUAAUUUUAAAAAUAAUAAUAAGUAAAUUAUUUAAGAUGUGUCUUUAAAACAUUCAAUAACAUAUUACUAUUUUAGGUGAAAGUAUAAUGAAUAUUAAUACAAUAAUAUUAUUUCACUUUUUUCUAACCGAAGUUCCGAAGGCAAGCAUCUCUUUGCGACCAUUGAUUAGAAUCUCCCCAGUCUGCUGAGUGUUUGCACUUAACCUUCCUACAAUGUAGUGUGUGUCUUAGUACGUAGCUAAGUAAUUUUAUUUUUUAUUUUUUAGGGAAAACUUGAAAAAGAAAUGAUCUUCUCAGUUUAAUUUUAAGUUAAAAAUUUGUAAUAAUACCUGCCAGUGCAUCAAGAAGUGUAGACUUGCCACAACCAGAAGGACCCAUGAUGGCUAAUAUCUGGCCUGGUUCAACAUACCCGGUCAGCUCUUGCAAAAUUGCACGUUUUCCAUUUUCUUUUUUACCACUUGGAACUACAACCGAAAGAUCCUUCCACGUUAAAAAAAUGCCAUUAUCAAACUUUGAUUUCAAGGAGCUAGCAACAUAAUCAUUACGUGAAACAGAGCUUGAUAAUGCAGUGCUAAAUGGGAAAAUUUUGUUCUUGCUGGAUCUAGAAGAUGAUGAAGCCCAACUUUGCACCUCUAAGCCGUCAUUUUUUGCACUAAUUGAUCUUGACACAUUGAUUGGAGAAUCCAUGUUAAGCUUCGUAUGUGAAUUGACGCCUUUGAGGAAAAAAAGAGACCAAAAAUUUUUUUUUUUGAAUAUCUUGAGACUCAGAAUUAAAGCCUUUGACUUUUAUAUAAAGAACUUUGUUUCAUUUAUAGUCUUAAAAGGUUUAGGAAAUUUUGGGAUUUCAUACAUCACUUCAAAAGUCAAAUUUGGAUUAUAUUUGACUCUUAUAUAAAGAACUUUGUUUCAUUUAUAGUCUUAAAAGGUUUAGGAAAUUUUGGGAUUUCAUACAUCACUUCAAAAGUCAAAUUUGGAUUAUAUUUGACUCUUAUAUAAAGAACUUUGUAUAUAUAUAUAUAUAUAUAUUGUAUAAUUUUGUUCAUUUUUGACUUAAGAGUGUGGUUUUUUAUUAGUUUUAACUUUUAGUAAUUAACAUUAUUUUUAUCUUCUAGUCAAAGUUUGCAUGCAUAUUCUAAACACAUCUUUUUUUCUUUCUUUUUUUUUAGCAGUGAUACACACACCCUACUUGUGAAAUCUCGCCGAAGGAAAAAAAAAUUUAAGAAACAAGUAAUGAAAGAUAAAAUUUGCCUAGGUGGGGUUCAAGUAAGAUUCAUUAAUGUGACAAGUAUUUGACGCAACGGGAUAGCGAAAGCGGAUUGACAUGCUAGAUAAAUGCUAGAUAUCGUUCUAGCAACAAUCCAAGCAAACGUAAUUACGCUACACUCUAAUCGAAACAUAAUUAGAUCUCAUUUUGAUUUAAAUGACUCAAUGAGAUUUUGAUAACACUUUAAGCGAUAUUAGAUAAUGCUCUAAUUUAAAUGACUAUAUAAGAGAGAUUUUGAUAGAUAAUCCCAACGAAAAUUAUAAAAGUGAGGUUUUAAUUGAAUAACUGAAUUUAAUUAACAAUGACAAAACAUCCUUAUUUAUAAAAGGAUAAAUCUACUUCCUCACAUUAAGUUAAAUGAAAAAUUAAAUCACAAUUAUAAUACGAAUAAACAAAUAAAAUAUAUAUCAUAAUUGACUCUAAUUAAAAAUAAAAAAUAUCAAAAGAUCUAAAAUAACAAAUCUCUAAAAUUCUAAAAUAAUGUUCUACAUUAUAAAAGGAUCAUAGUUCUAACAUAUAGAUGAAUAACAAAGAAAGAAAUACUAACAAAUGGAUUACAAAUUUAACACAGAAACUAGCAAGUUGCUUAAGUAGAUACAAAUGGAAAGUGAACGACCAACAUCUUUUCAAAUAAAACUUGAAAAAUUAAUUCCAAAACAGUAUAAUAGUUACCAACAAUGCAUGAUAAACAAGUACAAAAAAAGCAUAAAUUAAAUGCAAAUGACAAGCAUUAAUUAUUGUUUAAUACGCAAGUACGGAAGAUCGCAAAAGUACAUAGUAAAAAAAGUUUUAUUCACUUGUUAAUAAUCUGAAUGCAAAAAACGAAGAGGUAAAAAUAAUUCCAUACAAAGGGUAAAAAAAUUUUAGAAUUUCUAGCAAAAUGCAUUGGUCCUAUAGCAGAUGAUGCGACAUUAACAUGUUAGUAUGGAAAAAUAAUUUUUUAAAAAUGCAUAUGCAUACUGAAAUCAAAUAAGACAUUAGGCUAUUUGCAUUAUAAAAUAUAUUUUGGACACUCUUUUACUUUGCACACUUUUUGAUAAAUUCAAAAACUUAACUUUUACUUUACACACUCUCAUAAAUACCAAAAUAGACCUCAAUUAAAUUCGUAGUGUUAAUUUAUUAUUUUCUCGAUAUGAACACAUAUAUUUAAUACCCAAAUUAAGAUUUAAAAAUAAUAAAUAGUCAAUGAUAAUUUUUCUAUUCAAUUAACAAGGAUUGGCAAGAUGAACGUAUUAGAAUCAGUUUACCCAUGGAGAUGAGUGAAUGAAGAACUAAAAAUAGUGGUAUCAGUAAUCAUUUGUUUUGAAACUCAUAUUUGAUAUUGAAGCAAUGUAAGAUUUAGUGGUUGGUGAGUCCUUAAGUCCUUAUUACAAUCUGACAACAACUGAAUCAAUAGACCAUACAAUCAGGAUUCCAUGGAGCUUGUAGUAACAUAAAAAGAAUUAAAAAUUACAGCAUCGUGAGGCAUAUCAUAAACUUAUGUUGAACAAGUUAUCCAUUCUUUUACAGAAUAAAAACUUUAAGCAAUCAUUGAUCAACAAAACCUCACCGACUAAUGCAAAAGAUUUUAGUUUCAGGAAACUCAAAAGAGAUAGAAGGAACAACCAAAAAAUAGUUUAAAGAAAUAAAAACCUUGAGCAACCCCCAUCUCCUUCUUGACUAUAGCCUAAAUCUCACGAAGAGCGGCAACUUCCUUCUCCUUCCCCUUCAACCACUUAUUCAUCUCAUCCAGUUCCUACAAAUACAUAAAUAAAACAAAUAGAUCUAUCGAAUAGCUAGGGUUUUAAUCAACCAAUUGAUCAUAUGACAGAAAAAUUUUAAGAAGUACCUUAACGAUGUUGUCAUCGGCAGCCAAUAUGUCACAUUUCAUGUUAGAGAUUUCGCUUCCGUAAAGCUCGUGUUUUUCUUCAUUUUCUCUCUUGUGUUACUAGUAACCAAAAGAGUUUUGGUGUGGUUUAUAUAAGAGUGAUUAAAUUAUAUGCAGUUUUAUACGCAAAUAGCAUUACUAAAAACAGACGCAACACAAAUGAAACAACAAAAUAUUCCAAACUCUACACCUCAUCCAUAAUGAUAUUUUGAAAAUUAAUUCAACCACUUAAUUAUCCUAAAUACACGAACUCAUCAAUUUUCCUAUCAUUCAAAUUUUUUGACAUAUGAAAUCAAAUGCAUAAAACACUAUCUCGCACUGUCAAGCGCAGUACGUGACCUACCAGAAAGCACACCCCCAAACAUGUGUGCGGUGUGGCGGGGCUCUCUGAGUUGGUGGCUCGACCGAUGGCUUUAGUGGCGUGUACAUGAUGUAUAGGUUCAGAGUUAGACGCUUCCGUAACUAAAUUAAAUGAUGGGGAGUGAACGCUUCUAUUGGUGUUUUAGACGACAUAACUUCAACUAGUGCAUCCAACUUAUUUGAACUUGGGACUACAGAGCUUGAGAUUGUGGUUGUCGAUGGGUAAAAUUAGGCUUAUUUUUCAUUACUCCAAAUGUUUCAACAAAUUUUGCCCUGCACCCAAUUGUCCCGACAACUAUCACCAUUACACCCAUCCGGUGAGAUAUUAGUAUAUUAUCGUCAAGUUUGUUGAUGUUGCCCCUCUUAUAAAUUUCAAAGUCUUAAAAUAUGUUUAUUUAUAAAAUUGAAAGAUAAAAGUGAGGAAUAAGAAUUAUUAACAGUAUUUAUUUAUUAAAAAAUAGAAAUAAAAUUAGAGUAGUCCUUAUAAAUUUAGAGAUGAUGAAUGAGAAUCUCAUUUUCAUGAGAGGUGAGAAUGUGGAUAAGGAGUGAUUAACAUUAUUAUCCUUAAUAAAAUUUAAAAAUGUUUUUUUAACAAUAAUAAGAAUAUUAUUAUUGUUGUUGUUGUUGUUGUUAUUAACAAUAAUUAUUUUGAGUAAAAAUAAUAAUUAUUUCUAUGAUAAAUAAUGAUAAUAAUCAACUAAGGUUAUUUUUAUAAUUUACAACAAUUUAUUUCGAUUCCAAAAUAAAAUAAAUACAAUUAAAGUAAACAACUUUAUCUUAUUCUUAGUAAACACAUUACUGCUUAUGUAGUCCAUUCCGAUCUUAUUCCGAUCUUAUUUCUCAUUAUGAUUUUAAGUUCAUUCUAAUUCCAUUAUAUUCUUAUUCCACCUUAUUUCAAUUACUUAUUGGUAAAUGUACCAUUAAAUUUACUAAAAUUCCUCGACACCAGACAUUAUCUCAAAUUAAUUUAUUAAUUUAUUUAUUACAACGACACCAACAAUAUUGGUUCUUUCUAUACAACUAUAUAAUGUCACAAAACAUGGCAAAGCUAUUUCAUACAUUUAUUUUUCUGUUCAAGCAAAUUGUGCUAGAGUGGCAGAGGGAUUAUCCUACAUCUGUCUACAAGGCUUAAAAGAAACAAACCCCAAAAGAUUUGAUAAUAGGUUUAAAUUUCUCAGUAGUUUUAAUAAUUGCCCAAAACAAAAAUCGAUAAAAAAAUAGCAUUCCGAGUAAGAUAACAAGAUCAAUCCACUUGGAGUGUCCUAUGUCAACUUGCCAAACACUUGUGAGGACUUCUUUACCAGUGAUUAUUGGUGGCCCUUUAGCUUGAUUAUUUGGGAAAGUUAAUCCUUCAAACUCAUUUUUGUAGAAUCCUUGAUAUAAAUACCUGUGAAACACAAAAUAGUACAUAGGAUAUUUUCAAACUGGCUUUGGAAGAUCGUUUGGCAAUCUGAAGAAACCUCCAUUCAGCAUCAUAAUUCCUUGAAUUCCAGCACCGGUUAUGAUUCCCAUGAGGAAAUCUGGCACUAUGCUUGCAACAAUCAUCAUUAAGCUCUCAACCAACAUCAUGGAUACAAAAAGCCCCAAAACAAAGUAUAGAAAAUGUCCAAUAUUCUUUUGAAGGCCAGUUAGGUAGUAUGCUAUUGCUCCAGGAAUCAAAGAUAUCAGGAGUAAGUAAGGGGUAGAAGAAAAUGAGUUGCUAAGAACAAAUGAGGCAACACCAUAAUGCCCAUUUAACCUUUCUCGCUCAAAUAUCUAAAGGAAGUAAAAAAUGUCAAUUA
rnacentral:lncRNA from 1 species